rnacentral:tRNA from 1 species
UGUUAUAUAGUUUAAAUAAAACAUUAAUUUUGUAAAUUAAAAAUUUAAUUAAAAUUAAUAUAACAA